UCAGAAUGUAAAAUAUGAGUUGUAUACUAUCAUAUGGACAAUCUCCCUUAACGUAUCUGCAAUAUUUGUCGCAUUGGGAACUUUCUCUAGUAGGAAUCUCUAUAGCAUCAAAGCUGCUGGUGCCUGUUCUAAUGACGGGUAUAAGGCAUCAAAAUCUAUUAUGGUGUAUACUUCCUCUGGUAAUGGGCCAACUUCUAGUAGUUUAUCGAGAAACUCCAGUGAUGAUUCUACAAUAUAUGGGUAGUUUUUCAGGUGUGGUAGAGCCCAUGGAUAUAACAAUAAAAUGUUGGAAGGAAUAAUGAACAAGGUUGGGCGUACCAUUGAGGGGAAAU
rnacentral:lncRNA from 1 species